UUCGUCAUCUCAGAACAUGGUGUCUCUGGUCAUUUUCCGCGGACCGGACGAGCCCGCGUUGUAUGGCCGCGCUCUUCAGCAUGGCUCGUGCCGCGGACACCAUCAGGCCGCGCUGCAUGGCCGCGGUUUGUCCGUGCCAAAUGGCCUUCUCGGACCAGAAUCUGUGGGCCGCCUUUGUCCGCAAAGCACACCCGCGUUUCACCAGUUUCACUCCAUCUUGUCCACUUAUCUUGCUCAAACCUUCAUAACUUCAACUUGAGCUUCAC
rnacentral:lncRNA from 1 species